rnacentral:rRNA from 1 species
UACGUAGGGUGCGAGCGUUGUCCGGAAUUAUUGGGCGUAAAGAGCUCGUAGGCGGUGUGUCGCGUCGGCCGUGAAAACCUGGGGCUUAACUCUGAGCGUGCGGUCGAUACGGGCAUCACUAGAGUUCGGCAGGGGAGACUGGAAUUCCUGGUGUAGCGGUGAAAUGCGCAGAUAUCAGGAGGAACACCGGUGGCGAAGGCGGGUCUCUGGGCCGAUACUGACGCUGAGGAGCGAAAGCAUGGGUAGCGAACAGG